UUUAAAUAGCUGCAGUAAUUUAACUGUACAAAGGUAGCAUAAUAAUUAGUCUUUUAAUUGAGGUCUAGAAUGAAUGGUUUAACAAGAAAAAAACUUUAUUUAAUUAAUUUUUUUGAAUUUAAUUUUUUAGUUAAAAAGCUAAAAUUUUUAAAUGGGACGAUAAGACCCUUUAGAUCUUUAAAUUUUUAUGAUUUAAUAUAUUUUUGGUUAGAUAGGAUUUUAAGUAAAAAUUUUUUGUUGGGGUGACAAGUAAAUUUUUAAAACUUUAUUCUUUUCUAACAUAUAUUUAUGUUUAGUUGAUCCUAAAUUUUGGAUUUUUAAAAUAAGAUACCUAAGGGAUAACAGCGUAAUAAAUUUGUAAAGUUCAUAUAGAUAAAUUUGUUUACGACCUCGAUGUUGAAUUAAUUAAAAUUUUUGGAGUAGACAUUAAAAUUUUAGGUCUGUUCGACCUUUAAAAUAUUACA
rnacentral:rRNA from 1 species